rnacentral:rRNA from 1 species
AUGAAUAAUCUGACCAAUAUUGUUGAAUUGUGCUUGGAUGGUAACAAAUUUACAGGGACAUUACCUCAUGAUCUGGCAGGACAGUCUAUAAACGUCAUUGAUUUGCAUGAUAACGAGCUGUCUGGCAAACUCGAUACGUCAUUUUGGAAUAUGUCUUAUUUGAGAGCCCUGAAUCUUGCUGGUAACCAUAUAACUGGCAAAAUUGGUCAACACAUUUGUGGCUUCACAAGAAUUCGCCUUUUAGAUCUAUCGCACAACAACCUCACAGGGUCUGUACCAAACAGUUGCUUCAUAGGGCUCAAAUUUCUUAACCUUACUGGGAACUCCUUAUCUGGCGAUAUCUCUUUUCUCCUUUACAACACAUCUAGUCUGAUUGCUUUGGAUAUCAGACACAAUCAGUUCACGGGCAACCUAAACUGGGUACGUUAUCUUGACAGCAUUAGGCUACUUUCACUGGGCGGAAACAAGUUUGAAGGGCAGAUCACUCCAAACCUUUGCAGACUCGUGUACUUGAGGAUACUUGAUUUGUCGCAUAACAGACUUUCAGGUUCGCUAGCGGUAUUGUUGGAGUUGUGUCGAAUAUUGUGUACAAGGUAG